CACCGCUGUGGAGAUGAGCUGCAUCCGAUUAAACUCCCCUUUCUGGGUCACGAUGAACCCUAACCCUUUCACCAAAAAAAAAAAAAAAAACUGAGAUAAACCUUAACUCACUUUCCCUUCCUUGGAGAGCAGUGCGGCACUCUCUCUUCCUUGAACUACACCAGUUUCUUACUCCUCUCUCUCUCUCUGUCAAAGGCGGAAGGGUGCCAUGACCACACACUCACAUGCUCAGGGCUUAAAACCAAGAGAGAACGGAUGGAAAGGCGGAAGGUACCUGUAGCGACCUGGGCUGGGUUCCUGAGGCUUUCUGAAAUCCUGAACGAGAGAAGUAAUGGCAAUCGAGUGCUUCUGCAUUGUGAUUCCUCAAACAAGUAGCAGAACCUUCAAGACCGGACUGAUCACAGAUUGAAGCCGAACCUGGCCCUCCCUCCCACAAUCUGAAACCUUCGAAACCAGACUGAAUUUCAGGUUUCGAUCUGCUGAGAAGAACGCAGGAUUCCCCAUCUCCGAUCUCUGUGUGACAAGUUGCAAAGAUCAAUCACUUUUCCUAUGAGUUCUCUUCAAGUACCUGAAAUGGUCUCACAAAAUUUUAGUAGUACUACUACUAAGGGGAGAGAUUAUGAUGUCAGUUCUAAAAAACACAUAUAAAUUUGGAUGGAUGGAAUUUUUGAUGUUUAUCUAGAUGAUAAAGCCUUCAAAAACAUCAGAAAUUCCUUCUCAUCCAAAUUUGUAUGUGUUUUCAGGACUUAUAGUAUAACUUAUCUCCUUAAUAGUAUUACUGAAAUCUUGUGAGAUGAUUUCAGGGACUGGAAGAGAAAUCCGUUCAGAUCCAAGCAGUGCCACCUUAUUCUCAUUAUUUUUUUCCAAUGUUUUCCGCUAUCUCAAUAUGUUAAUCUCAUUUUUCUUUCUUGGUUGGAGAAAAGUUUUAUUUACAUGGCUUGAUGGGGAAACCGAAAUACUGUUUAUGCUGAACAAGUUUCUUCGUUCUAUUUCUUUCUUUUGCUGUUUUAUUAUUAUUCUUGGAUAUUCUAUUACUGCUGUUGUUUUGUUCUCCUUAAAUCCUUUAUUGACCUAAUUGUUCUGCUUUUUUAUCUAUUCAUAUCUGUCUCUAGAAUUGUUCUGAAGUUGCUCUUUUUUAUCGCUUUAUCUCCUGCUGGAAAACACAGUAUUCAAUUAACUUCCUUUUUUUCUUAUUUCAGUUUUUGUUUGAUGUCCUCAUAAGAUGUGCAAAACAGUUCUUUAGUCAUCAGAGUAGCCUCCUGCUGGUGGUUUCCCAAGAAAUUAUUAGCACUAGAUAUCAUCGGCAUUAUCUGAAUCUUAGGUAAGCCUCGUGUAAUUGGGUCAGAUUUGUAAGAGUUAGAGAAAGUUUUCUCCGUAAUCUGUUUUCCAACCAAGUUAGAAUUGAGUUUCUAUUUGCCAAAAACGAAAAAAAAAGAAAAAAAAAGCAAUUGCCUGAAUCCGUGAUAUGAACCACUAAUCCAGAGCCAAAUAGGGAUCGGGGUGAUUUGUGAAAGUUUACUAGUGGAUUUAUUUCCCCUCUCAGGUUCCCUUCUUUGUUUUGACUAUAUUCACUCAUGAAUUACAAAAAUAGCAAAGUCUGUUAUAAUCAUUUAACUAAAUGUGGUUGCAAGAUUUUAAUAGGGGUGGUUAUUCUAAAAAAGUUGCUCCCAUAUUAAUGUAUGCCAUUUAGGCUCGAAUUCAUAUUCAGGGAAAUUUCAGUCACUGGCUACAUUAAUAUUCACAUCCCCAUACCAGUCUAAGAUUAUGUCCAUUUGAGGUUUAGGGUUACAUAGUGCUAAGAAAUUAAACUCCAAUUGGUUCUAAAAAAUAUGGCAGUGGCUUGAGAUGGUAUGCUAACACCAAAUGCAUCAGGUAGGAUGAACUGUCAUUAGUCAGAGGCUCUUAAAAGGAUUGGGACAUGGAUCACUGAAGAAGAAAAUGUAUGCUUUAACAGAUGAUAAUGCCAUGGGGACAAUGGAAUGGCAGAGGGUGUCAUGUAGGCAACCCAAGAUGGUUACGACCAUGCUUAAAUGUUGCCGGUUGCCGGCUGCUGGCUGCUGGCUGCUGGCUGCUGGCUGCUGGCUGCUGGCUGCUGGCUGCUGCCAAUUCUAAUGAUCUUAUUGGUUUAACAAAUAACAAUUAUUUUAGGUGUUAGCCUUCUCCAAGUAUCAUCCUGAGAUUUAAAGCACUCAAUGAGUAGGAAUUACAUAAAAAGAGCCCUCCAAUCUUCAGAAAUGGAGAAAUAAAUAAAGAAAUCUAACACUCCUUUAGCCAAAAUUAGGGUCCUGAAUGUAGUACUGAUUUACAGGAGUAAAACAAUACCAAGACAGGAUGAAAAACAGUAGCUAACGCAGGGAAUUAAUAAACAGCAAUCGGAGGGAGGAAAUUAUGGUAAUUUUCAGCCCAAAUUAGGUUCAGAAAUUAUGUCAAAUAGUCCCAAUUGAUCUCUGAAAACAGAACUGAGAUCUAGACACAAAGCAGGAAACAAAACAGUAGUAUUCAGAGGACAGAAACAGUAGUAGUCGAUUCAGGUUCUGAGAAGGGAAGUUAAAAUUGGUAAUUUGCAAAUAUGUUAAGAUUUAAAGCACUCAAUGAGUAGGAAUUACAUAAAAAGAGCCCUCCAAUCUUCAAAAGGAAAAAUAAAUAAAGAAAUCUAACACUCCUUUAGCCAAAAUUAGAGCCCCUAAUGUAGUACUGAUUUACAGGAGUAAAACAAUACCAAGACAGGAUGAAAAACAGUAGCUAACACGGGAAAUUAAUAAACAGCAAUCGGAGGGAGGAUAUUAUGGUAAUUUUCAGCCCAAAUUAGGUUCAGAAAUUAUGUCAAAUUGUCCCAGUCGAUCUCUGAAAACAGAACUGAGAUCUAGAUACAAAGCAGGAAACAAAACAGUAGUAUUCAGAGGACAGAAACAGUAGUAGUCAAUUCAGGUUUUGAGAAGGGAAGUUAAAAUUGGUAUUUUGCAAAUAUGUCAAGAUCCAGCGAUCAGAAAGAGUCCAAAAUUUUCCAAAUUAGGAUUCUUGACAGAAGCUGGAACAAGAGAACGAAAGAUGAUAAAAGGAGGAGGAAUGAUGUCUGUCUAGCGUUCCCCAAGCCCCAACACAACCCGUGUUUUCAGGGGGCAGGGGCGCCUUUUCACCGCCCCUGAAAACAGGGGCUGUGUGUGGGCGUGGGAACGCUAGACGGACAGCGUUCUUUUUCCCAAAAUUAAAAAAAAAAAAAAAAAACUUCUAGGAGUGAUAUGCAAUUGAGGAGUUUUCGAAGUUCAGAGUUAUCAAAAUCAAUCACCACAUUCCUCAUCAAACCCCAAAGCCAGAGAUACCAAAAUCAGCACUUCAUGCGGUAGAAAGCGCCAUAAUGCUCGAAAUCGUUUGGGCACUGCCAUCAUCGAUUCAGCACAAAACUUCAGUGUAGACAAUCGUUGUGAAAGUGCAGCAUUCUGUCCUCAAAUUUCAACUUUUUCGUCUUCGGCACCGGUAAGGGUUCCUUCCGUUCCUUUUCUUCUCCUUUUUUGUUGAUUCCCCCUUUUUUUUCUCGUUCUUUGUACACUGUGGUCACAAGUUGUUUUAGGUGUGGGCUUAUGUAUUUGCUAAAGAAAGAUAGUAUUGAAGAGUUUGUUGAAGUCUGAAUCAAUGGAGUGGUGAUUGGUCCAGCAAACAGGGUUGAGUGUAAGAACUUGUUUGAAGAAGCCCAAUUGUUGAGGAAGCCGGGCAAGCUGACAAGCCUAAGAAAUUUUAGUAAUACUACUAAGGAGAUAAGUUAUACUAAAAUUUUAUUACCAAAAUUUUGUGAGAUCAUUUCAGGGACUUGAAGAGAACCUCUUUUAGAUCUAAGCAGUGCACCUUAUUCUCAUUACUUUUUUUCCAAUGUUUUCCGCUAUCUCAAUAUGUUAAUCUCAUUUUUCUUCAUGGUUGGAGAAAAGGUUUAUUCCCAUGGCUUGAUGGGGAAAUCAAAAUACUGUUCAUGCUGAACAAGUUUCUUCUUUUUAUUUCUGUCUUUUUGCUGCUUUUUUGUUAAUAAUAUUAUUCUUGGGUAUUCUAUUACAGCUAUUGUUUUGUCCUUCAUCUGGACGCUUACAUAAGAUCAGAUAGUUGGUUUUCCUUAAAUCCUUUCUGGGCCUGAUUGUUCUGCUUUUUUAUCUAUUCAUAUCUGUCUCUGGAAAUGUUCUGAAGUUGCUCUUUUUCAUUGCUUUAUCUCCUGCAGGAAAACACAGUAUUCAAUUUACUUCUUUUUUUUCAGUUUUUAUUUGAUGUCCUUUAGUCCUUUAGUCAUCAGAGUAGCCUCCUGCUGGUGGUUUCCCAAGAAAUUAUUAGCACUAGAUAUCAUUUUAGGUUCCAGGAAAACUGAAUAGAAUUCUGUUCCAUCUAUUGCACACCCUAAGGUAGAAAAGAAGUUGAUACGUUUGGUAUUAUCUGAAUCUUAAUUAAAAUCUGAUCCUUCUCCUAAAGCCUCAAGUUAAUUGGGUUAGAUUUGUAAGAGUUAGAGAAAGUUUUCUUCAUAAUCUGUUUUUCAUCAAGGUUAGAAUUGAGUUUCUAUUUGCCAAAAAAGAAAAAGGAAAAUAAUACAACAGUACAAAAAACUAUCUACCAAAGUACAGCCAGCUCGCAUAGUUUUCUAAAUAGUUUUGGAAGCCCUCGUUUCGAUAAUUAUUUCUUCUAACCUCUAUAAUUUUGGAAAUUUCUCUGGUGGGGUUAUCUUUAGGUUGGCAUUGUGACUAGAGAACCACCUUGAUGUUAGAGGCUGUGAAAUCUUAAGCAAAAUAUUUCUACUCAUAAGGGAUUUGGGAGAAACCCUGAUAAAUGAUAUCACUAUCCAAAACAUUAAUUGUCUGAAACCCUGAUAUGAACCACUAAUCUAGUGCGAAAUAGGUAUCCGGACAAUCUGUGAAAGUUUACUAGUGGAUUUUAUUUCCCUUCUCAGGUUCCCUUCUUUGUUUUGACUAUUUCCACUCAUGAAUUACAAAAAUAGCAAAGUCUGUUAUGAUCAUGUACCUAAAUUUGGUUGCAAGAUUUUAAUAGGGGUGGUUAUUCUAAAAAUGUUGCUCCCAUAUUAAUGUAUGACAUUUAGGCUCGAAUUCAUAUUCAGGGAAAUUUCAGUCACUGGCUACAUUAAUAUUCAUAUCCCCAUACCAGUCUAAGAUUAUGUCCAUUUGAGGUUUAGGGUUACAUAGUGAUGAGAAACUAAACUCCAAUUGGUUCUAAAAAAUAUGGCAGUGGCUUGAGAUGGUAUGCUAACACCAAAUACAUCAGGCAGGAUGAACUGCCAUUUGUCAGAGGCUCUUCAAAGGAUUGGGACAUGGAUCGCCGAAGAUAAAGCCAUGGGCGCAAUGGAAUGGCAGCGGAGGGUUUCAUGUAGGCAACACAGGAUGUUUUUGACCAUGCUUAAAUGUUACUGGCUGCUGGCUGCUGGCUGCUGCCAAUUCUAAUGGUCAUAUUGGUUUAACAAAUAACAACAAUUAUUUCAUCUGUUAGAACUCUACAAGUAUCAUCCUGAGUAGGAAUUACAUAAAAAGAGCACUCCAACAUUCAAAAAUGGAAAAACAAAUAAACGAAUCUAACACUCCUUUAGCUACAAUUAGGGCCCCUAAUGUAAUACUGAUUUACAGGAGUAAAACCAUACCAAGACAGGAUCGAAAACAGUAGCUCACAUCAGAACUGAGAUUGCUCAUGAUGCGGAAGCUAGGCUUAGAUUUCGCUUUAAUUACUGAGUCUUUUUUUCCCCUGCUGAUGGCAAUGCCGAAGGAGGCGGAUUAAAAGUCUUUUAUCAGUUGUAUUUUCCUUUUUCAAUCUUUUCUUAAUUCAUAUUCUGAUUGUUAGCAAAAAAAAAAAACAGAAAUCAGAGGGAGGAUAUUAUGGUAAUUUUCAGCCCAAAAUAGGUUCAGAAAUUAAAUCAAAUAGUCCCAAUCUAUCUCUGAAAACAGAACUGAGAUCAAGACACAAAACAGGAAACAAAACUGUAGUAUUCAGAGGACAGAAACAAUAGUAGUUGAUUCAGGUUCUGAGAAGGGAAGUGUAAAAUUGGUAUUUUGCAAAUAUGUCAAGAUCCUGCCGUCAGAAAGAGUCCAAAUUUUUCCAAAUUAGGAUUCUUGAAGGUCUGGUGAAAUUUUGAAUGCGAUUGGAUGGCUGAAUUACUUAAUCCGAAAAAAUCUUGGAUCCAACCUUCUAGAAGAUCUGAACAAAUCAUAGGAUUACUUGAAGAACAGUUCUUACUUGACAGAAGCUGGAACAAGAGAACGAAAGAUGAUAAAAGGAGGAGGAAUGAUGUCCGUCUAGCAUUUCCCACGCCCACACAUAGCCCGUGUUUUCAGGGGGGCAGGGGCAUCUUUUCACAACCCCUGAAAACAGGGGCCGUUGGAACGCUAGACGGACAGUGUUCUUUCUCCCAAAAUAAAAAUAAAAAAUUCUUCUAGGAUUGGUUUUAAUGAGUUUUUGAAGCUCAGAGUUACCAAAAUCAAUCCCCAAAAUUCCUCAUCAAAACCCAAAGCCAGAGUUUUCAAAAUCAGCACUUCAUACCGUAGAAAGCGUCAUAAUGCUCCGAAUCGUUCGGUCACUGCCAUCAUCGAUUCAGCACAAAACUUCAGUGUAAACAAUUUUUAGUAACUGCUAGUCUCACUUCUACUGUAAGUCUUCUUUUGCUAGAUUUUAUAUAAAAUAGAGUAAGACAAUACAAGUUAUUCUUGUGUAUAUUGCAAGGGAAAGUGCAGCAUUCUGUCCUCAAAUUUCAACUCUGUUCGUCUCCGGUACCAGUAUGGGUUCCUUCUGUUCCUUUUCUUCUCCUUUUUGGUUGAUUUCCCUUUUUUUUUUUUUUUUUUUCGUUCUUUGUAUGCUGAGGUCACAAGUUGUUUUAGGUAUGGGGUUAUGUAUUUGACAAAGUAAGUAUUGUAGAGUUUGUUGAAGUCCUGGAUCAAUGAAAUAGCAAUUGGUCCAACAAACGGGUUGAGUGUAAUAACUUGUUUGAAGAAGCCCAAUUGUUGAGGAAGCAAGGGAAGCCAACAAGCAUAAGACAGUAGAGAAGAGAGACAGGAUCAUUUUCUGUCUGUUGAAACCCUAGAUAUUGGAAUCAGGAAGUAGCAAUGAUCUCCAAAAGUCUAAAUAUUUUUUUUUCAAUAAACUUGGGAAUCUUGCUACUGGAGGUAAGCUUCAUUGAUUUUUGCUUUUACCAAUUCCAAUUCCUUAAACCAUUAUGAUUGGCCCCAUAUUCAGAUUUUGGGUUCCAAUAUGAUUGUUGCUUUGUUGGGGUCCUGUGAGAAAAGAGAAAGCUUUAAGUUUCAUGCUUUAUGGAAGGUUUCAAAUCUCAUGCUUUAGGGAUCUGAGAUACUUUUAGCCAUUUUCUUAUGGCUUAUGUGUCUUAUUGUUCCUCUUUGCUAAUAUAAGCUUUUUUGGUUAUAAAUUGCAAUAGCUGUUUUGUUUCUAGGAGCAGGAGCACUCCUUGGUUUGCUAUAGUCUUUUAUCAUAUGAGAAAUCUGUUUCAACAACAAAGUAUUUACCAGACCAUUAAUCAUUGCAGGACAGAAAUGGCUUCUUGUUCAACUCUAGACAUCUUGAGUGAUCUACAAGAAAAUAUACUAGAAAACAUCUUUUCUCAUUUAUCAAUGAGAGACGUGGUGAGAACCAGUGUCCUAUCAACUUAGUGGAGAUACAAAUGCAUUUCAGUUCCACAUCUCAUAUUCAAUGAUGAUUGUAUACCAGUUUCUGUUGGUUCACUUGGUCAUGAUAAACUUGUGCAAAUUGUUAAUCAUGUUCUCCUCCUUCAUAGAGGUCCAGUUCUAACAUUUCAGAUCUCUAGUUCACAGUUAAAAACCUGUUCAGAUAUAGACUGCUGGAUUCUUUACCUCUCAUUAUAUUCUGUCAAUUCUAUCAAAGAUUUUAAACUUCUGAUUUCUGAAUCCAAGCAUCAUAUGUUCAUCCAUGUUUGUUCUCCUUUAAAAAACUGACUCAUCUGAUACUUGCUGGUUGCAUAAUCUUACUUCCUGUGAUGUUCAAAGGCUUUAGCUGUCUCACAACUCUGGCUUUUAAACAUGUUACACUCUCUAAUGUGGCAUUCGAAUGCUUGGUUUCUACCUUCCCUCAACUAGAGAGGUUGGCAUUGAUUGAUAUCGAUGGUCCUACUCGUAUUGAACUUAGCAAUCCGAAACUCAAGUACUUGUGGAUCUAUGGGAAAUUCAUUCCUAUAUACCUCAAAGAGUUAAGGUUUUUAGUUUUUGCAAGCUUUUUUGCAACAACAGCGGCUCAUCCUGGCCUAAGAAGAACUAGCAAUUUUAGCAACAUUCUUGGCUCUCUAUUGGGUGUUCAAAAGCUUGCCAUGGGAGGCUUGUAUCUACAGGUAAUAGAAUCUUGUGAUUUUCAUAUUUACUCAGCAAUUGGCUUGCAAUUAUUUUAUGUUUACUUAUGUUUGCGUCCUAUUAUAGUCUUUAGCCAUUGGUGACAUGCCUAGGAGGCUUCCUUCUACUUAUGAUCAUUUGAGGAGCACCUACUUUGCACUGAAAGUAGAGGAUAUGAAACAUAUUUUAGUUGCUAUUUGGUUACUUAAAAGCUCCCCUAAUUUGCAAAAGCCUGAAAUCCAUUUAAGUUACAUUUUAUCACCAUUCCUUUUCUUUUUUACCUUCUUAUGAUUGUUCUGAAAUUGUUUAAUACUCCGGCUCUGCUGUUCUAAGAGAGAUGCGAUUGUUCCUAUCAUGGAUCAACAAAAAGCAAAGGAACAGUUGGAGUGCACAUUCAGCAAACUUCAGGUUGUGAAUAUCUUUAGACUCCUUGGCAUGAAAAUGGAAUUGGAAUUCAUUAAAUUUAUCCUUGCCAGUUCGCCAGUGUUUGAAACAAUGAACAUCAUUCCUGCAAUAAAUGGCAUUGACAAAGGAUUGUUGUUGGAAGAGUUGCUUCGAUUGAAAAGAGCUUCAUCCCAAGCAGAAAUUUGUAUACUUGAACCCUAAGAUUCAGAAGUGAUCCAAGUUGAUGACCACUAGAGCUUCAUUCAAACCACCCCCCCCCCUUUUCCCCUUUUGUGCCGGUUAAAUGUAUCUUAUGUGGUAGAUGUGUCACAGGUCAAAUGCACAUGUGAGCAUUCAUGUUGGCUACUGAAACUAGUGACCUAGACUUGAUUUUUUCUUUGUUCUAUGGGAUCUUAAUGAUUUGGGGAUGACAGCAUUCAUGUUCCUUAUUGAAACUAAGAAUCCUGGCCUGUGAUUUUCUUUGCCAA